GUUCAAUCCCUGGUUGUCUGUGUCCCCCAGUCUCCCCACCCCCACCAAAAGAAAAAGAAAAGUUCCUUACCUAUUGCAGGAUGGUCACCAUGAGAACUUAGUCGUCUUCCUAGGCUAGGGCCUCUUCAUGUUUCUCUGUAUUCUGCACUCAUCAAUGUAAUAAACCCAGAAAUAGAAGGCAUUUCAGUUCACAUAAGCUUAAAAUGAGAGGAGGGGGAUAAUUGUUAUAAAAAUCUGUAAAUGCUAACCACUUCUAUGACCAGGCCAGAUUCUAGCUUUUGGAUAGAGUCAAGGGAGUAAAAACCUUCAAGGUUACAACCUGUGGGGUUCACACUCUGAUGCCCUUUCCAGGAAGGCACUGAGGAAGGCUUACUGCUAAGGCAGGAUUAGAAAUGGCUCCAAGUAGCAGGAGAAUGGUACUGUGGAUUCUGAACUACUGGGAGUGGUCAUAAAAGACACUGGGGGGGACUUGUGUGAGCAAAAACCCAAGGACAUUUAUCUUCAGUUGGGGUUUUGCCUUCCCUUUUCUGCUUGCCUAACACACAGGAAAGUGAGUAUUCUUGCUUUAGUGAGUAUCACUAAAGUAUUUCCUCAGUUUGUGUCUUUCAAACUCUGUGCUGGCACAUUCAGGAUGCCACAAAACUUCCCUGGAACUUCCCUUGCCUAAGACUGGUAGUGCAUCUGUUACCAGAUGGCACCACGGAAAGGCAUCUGGAUGAGUGGGCCUUUAGAUGUUCCAUGAGUAGAUCUUGUAAGCAUGGGCUGGGUCAGGGAUUCUCUGGGCCCAGUCUCUCUAUGGCAGGUAUGCAAGCAGCCUAAAAAGAAUGGGCUUCAGCUUGAAGAAAGUUGAGAUUUGCCAAAGAGCAAAUGAGAGAUGACGAUUGUGACAACUGCCCUUUUCCCUCAUCUUCUAAUUUCCAAGUCCCAUUGUCUUGAAUGUGCCUUCAGGCACAUCCCUAAAUGAUCUCAAGCUGGCCUCUUCUACAUCAUGGUAAGAAUCCCAUAAUGCCAUACAACAUGUGAGAGUGGUGCUGGCUUAAAGAAGCACCUGGUCAGGGCUUGGCCUUUCAGGUUAAGUGUAGCUCUAGGUGGAGGGCCCCAGCCUCAGGAGCUCAUCAAAGCCCCACAGUCCCUUUCAGAUUUUAGUUUUCUUCAUUUUCGUGAAGAGCAACCACCAUUCCUUCUGAUUAUUCAAGUAUUGGUUUCAUAAAUGUCCACCCUAUAAGUAUCAGGCCUGUUUAUCCUGAAGGGACACAGAAAGGAAUAAAACAAACUUUUAGACCCUUUGGGACUUAUAUUCUACUGAAGAGAUGGAAAUUGGAAUUAGCAUCUAAAAUGUACUGUGGGCAAGAGAUGUGCCUCCGUGGUAGAACAUGUGUACCAUGCACAAUGUCCUGGGCUCCAGCCCCAGCCCUCUCCCCUGCCCCAAUAGGUUAAUACGAUAUGUGCUGGGUUUUUUGACUCAAGAUGGCCUUUUGAGCCUAUGAUUUAACUCCUCUACCCACCCCUAAAGUCCUACUGUAAGUCAUCAAGCUCCUGCGAAGCUCAUAGGGAGAACUGUAGCUUAAAGGAGGAGAGACAUGGGGCCUGAGAAGGCAUGCCCUUCCAUGAGAAUGGGUUGCUGUGUCAUUCCAUUUACUUGCUGCAAGAUUAGAACUUUUGGUACUUAUUUAGGCUUUGAGUAAGGUGUGGACAUCUUGAUGUCUGACCAUGAAGACCAGACUGUCUCUAAAAAGGGCAAGGAUUAGAAGAGCUCAUAGGAUCAGUCUCAGCUCAGUUAGGACAUGUCGAUUCUUAGAAACCAGAGACAAGACUAAUGUGUGCAUAUAAUAUAAAAUCAUGACCUUGGGAAAACCUGCCUAGCUACUGAACUAAGUCCAUGAAAUGAUGAGCUCCUUGAAAGUUCUACUUUAAUGAUAAUAAUAAACAGCAUAAUUGAGUACUUGCCAUAGGCCAAGAACUAUCUCAUCUGACUCUUAUGACAAUCUUGAAAGGUAAGUGCUUAUUUUUUCCUUUCUUAUAAAUGAGGAGACUGAAGGUUUUAAGGUAAAGGAAUUUUCCAGAAUCUCACACCCAAGCUGUGAGACUGCCUCUUAACACUGCUAUGCCUGGCAAAAAAUAGAUGUUUGCUCUUCCUUCUUUUGUUUUCCCCAUUAGCAAUACUCACCAUGGAGUAGCAGAUGUCAAAGACUUAAGAAAAAUUUAUUUACCUUAAAGCAGUAGUUCUUAAACUUUCACAUGUCUGGAUCCCUUGAAAAGAUGUUUUGAAACAGGUUUCUGGGCCUAACAACCAAUUUCUGAUUUAGUAGAUCUGGGGUGGAGCCUAAGAAUUUGCAUUUUACCAGAUUCCUAGAUGAUACUGUUGCUUUGCUGCAAAUUGAGAAAUGAGUGUUUUCAUUCCUGUUUAUUUGAAAUGCCAUGCUAUAUAAAAUGUAAUUUGAAGACCUAUUAUUCAUGACUCACUCAAAGAGGCAAAAGUCCUUUAUUAGCAUACAGAUGUUUAUCAGAGCUGAACACUACCACCAUCUAAGCACCAGCCCCCUUUCUCAGUCCCUAGGAACCUGAACAUGUCUGAGACCCUGAAAUCUUGUCUCAUGCAAGAGUAAGGGUUAGAAGAGGCCACAGACCAGUUCCACCCCCAUAGUCAUCAGUAGUUUUCAGUUCUCCAGCUUCAGUGCCUUUGCUGGGAACCCUGACAUAUUCCUUCAGGCUGUGGUUUGGGCCUAUCUGGAUGCUACUCGAGGUCCCCAUGGAAACUUUUGAACAAAUCCUGUCUGAUCCAUUUCCUAUAGUUUGUCUUGUAGGUUUUUGAUGCCAGCUGCCCUCUGAGGUCCUGACCAUACCUUUCCUGGCCCAUCUCCUUUGCUGUCCACCUUCCUAAGUUCCAUAGGAUACAGGACCUACCCAUUCUGCACAUCUCUUUCCUCAAGAUAACUAUUUCUUGGCUUGGGGAUGUAGCUCAGCUUGUGUGUGAGGCCCUGAGUUCCAUCCUACGCACUGCAGAAAAAGAAGAGAAAUCAUUUCUUAAUAGUCAUGGUGUGCUGGUCACUCCCAACCCCGUGACUGGACCAGGAUUCCUUACCAGCAUCCUCCAUAAGCUCCUUGCCAAAUCCUUGCUCCAUAUCCUCAUUUAAACCCUUGCCACCUGGGAAGACUGUCCUCUGAUCUCCACUGUUUGCUUGGCUCCAGUCCACUCCUGACUCCAUUCUCCAAGAUACCACUUCUAGCUUUCUUCACUCCUACCCAAGGCCAUCCCAGGAAACAUCACUGCUCAUGAUGUUGAUCUGCCCAACAACCUUUUGCUAUUUCAUUCCUCAGUCACCCAUAUAACCAUCCUUGUCAUUUCCUGCAACUGUUCUACGCCUGGCUGCUCCUCACAUUUUAGCCCAUACCAGCCUCAAGCAAGGCAAGUUUGUAUAGUUAUAGUUUCCUCCUAUUGGAAUGGAUUAAAUAGAAGGAAAAACUUGACUAUUCCAGGAAAGUGUUCCCUCACUAUUACAGGAGUUAGAUUUUUCAAACCAGCCUUUCAAAGAGCUAUUUCAAAAGCAAUAAGCAAGUGGUUCUAAGGUUUACAAACAUAGACCUACAUGAUAAUUGGGUGUGAGGAAGAAUGGUCCUAAGGUGAUGACUUGGAUCAGACUUUCCAGUGAGUGUCAAAGGCAUGUUUUAAAAAGUGCUGCUACUCAAACAACUUAAGACACAAGGGAUGGAGGUGUGCUUCAAAAAACUCUGGCUAUAGAUCUAAAGACUUUGAAACACAAGAUGCUUGUAGAGAAUUUGAAUAAAAAUUGUUACUUGAAACAUGAGAAUGGGAAAAAAGCAAUAUUUUGUAUUACUGUAUUAUUGUAUAUACUGUUAUUUUAAAUAAGCAUGUGUAAGUAAAUAAAUUAGCUAUUAUAAAUA